CGGAGAGGUUGUUGUUUUUUUCUUCAAUAAGUUUAACUGAGGUUGCAGAUUAAACACUAUAGAAGUAGGUCAAACAACUUGACCACUUCUUCACCACACGUGUCCGUUUAAGAGCCUGUUCUGAGCACAGAGAUCAGAGGAUUAAAAAGAUCAUAUCUCUUGAGUAUAAGUACCUCUAAUUGGCUCUCUCCUGCCAGAGAAGAGAGAUGUGUUUUAGAACAGAGAGAGGUGUGUUUUAGAACAGAGAGAUGUGUUUUAGAACAGAGAGAUGUGUUUUAGAACAGAGAGAUGUGUUUUUGAACAGAGAGAUGUGUUUUUGAACAGAGAGAUGUGUUUUAGAACAGAGAUGUGUUUUAGAACAGAGAGAUGUGUUUUAGAACAGAGAGAUGUGUUUUAGAACGGAGAGAGAUGUGUUUUAGAACGGAGAGAGAUGUGUUUUAGAACGGAGAGAGAUGUGUUUUAGAACAGAGAGAUGUGUUUUAGAACAGAGAGAUGUGUUUUAGAACAGAGAGAUGUGUUUUAGAACAGAGAGAUGUGUUUUAGAACAGAGAGAUGUGUUUUAGAACGGAGAGAGAUGUGUUUUAGAACGGAGAGAGAUGUGUUUUUGAACAGAGAGAUGUGUUUUAGAACAGAGAGAUGUGUUUUAGAACAGAGAGAGAUGUGUUUUAGAACAGAGAGAGAUGUGUUUUAGAACAGAGAGAUGUGUUUUAGAACAGAGAGAUGUGUUUUUGAACAGAGAGAUAUGUGUUUUUGAACAGAUAGAGAUGUGUUUUAGAACAGAGAGGUGUGUUUUAGAACAGAGAGAUGUGUUUUAGAACAGAGAGAGGUGUGUUUUAGAACAGAGAGAGGUGUGUUUUAGAAGAGAGAUGUGUGUUUUAGAACAGAGAGAUGUGUUUUGAACAGAGAUGUGUUUUAGAACAGAGAUGUGUUUUAGAACAGAGAUGUGUUUUGAACAGAGAUGUGUUUUGAACAGAGAGAGGUGUGUUUUAGAACAGAGAGAGAUGUGUUUUUGAACAGAGAUGUGUUUUUGAACAGAGAUGUGUUUUGAACAGAGAUGUGUUUUAGAACCGAGAGAGGUGUGUUUUAGAACCGAGAGAGGUGUGUUUUAGAACCGAGAGAGGUGUGUUUUAGAACCGAGAGAGGUGUGUUUUAGAACAGAGAGAGGUGUGUUUUAGAACAGAGAGAGAUGUGUUUUUGAACAGAGAUGUGUUUUUGAACAGAGAUGUGUUUUAGAACAGAGAUGUGUUUUGAACAGAGAUGUGUUUUAGAACCGAGAUGUGUUUUAGAACAGAGAGAUGUGUUUUAGAACAGAGAUGUGUUUUAGAACAGAGAUGUGUUUUAGCACAGAGCUCAGAACAGGCAUAAUAUGAGACACCAAGGUUAUUUCUCUAAAUUUCCUUCUAAUUUUUUCCAACACAGUCUCGAAGGUGUGUGUGUGUGUGUGUGUGUGUGUGUGUGUGUGU
rnacentral:lncRNA from 1 species